CAAUAGCGUAUAUUAAAGUUGUUGCAGUUAAAAAGCUCGUAGUUGGAUUUCUGGUGGGAGCGAUCGGUCUGGCGCUUAGCGCGAGUACUUGCAUCGUCUCCGGCCAUCCUUGGGGAGAGUCUGUCUGGCAUUAGGUUGUCGGGCAGAGGAUCCUCAUCGUUUACUGUGAAAAAAUUAGAGUGUUCAAAGCAGGCUUAUGCCGUUGAAUAUAUUAGCAUGGAAUAAUAAGAUAGGACUUUGGUACUAUUUUGUUGGUUUGCGCACCAAAGUAAUGAUUAAUAGGGACAGUUGGGGGCAUUUGUAUUCCGGCGCUAGAGGUGAAAUUCUUAGAUUGCCGGAAGACAAACUGCUGCGAAAGCGUCUGCCAAGGAUGUUUUCAUUGA
rnacentral:rRNA from 1 species